GUUGGGGUUCAGUGGUAGAGCACUUGCCUAGCAUGUGUGAGGCACUGGGUUCGAUUCUCAGAACAACA
rnacentral:tRNA from 1 species